rnacentral:rRNA from 1 species
UACGUAGGGUGCAAGCGUUGUCCGGAAUUAUUGGGCGUAAAGAGCUCGUAGGCGGUUUGUCGCGUCUGCUGUGAAAACUGGGGGCUCAACCCCCAGCCUGCAGUGGGUACGGGCAGACUAGAGUGCGGUAGGUGAGAUUGGAAUUCCUGGUGUAGCGGUGGAAUGCGCAGAUAUCAGGAGGAACACCGAUGGCGAAGGCAGAUCUCUGGGCCGUAACUGACGCUGAGGAGCGAAAGCAUGGGGAGCGAACAGG